CCCUUAGAUGUCCUGGGCUGCACGCGCGCUACACUGAUGUGUUCAAUAAGCACCUAACCUACUCCGAAGGGACUGGGUAACCUUUGCAAAGCACAUCGUGAUGGGGAUAGAUUAUUGCAAUUAUUAGUCUUGAACGAGGAAUUCCUAGUAAGCGCAAGUCAUCAGCUUGUGUUGAUUACGUCCCUGCCCUUUGUACACACCGCCCGUCGCUCCUACCGAUUGAGUGAUCCGGUGAGGCUCUGGGACCUGGACGGAAAGAGCGUUUCGCUUGUUCUGUUUGGGAAACUUGGUCGAACCUUAUCAUUUAGAGGAAGGAGAAGUCGUAACA
rnacentral:rRNA from 1 species